UACGUAGGGUGCGAGCGUUAAUCGGAAUUACUGGGCGUAAAGCGUGCGCAGGCGGUCCGCAAAGUCUGAUGUGAAAGCCCCGGGCUCAACCUGGGAACUGCAUUGGAAACUAACGGGCUCGAGUGUGGCAGAGGGGGGUGGAAUUCCACGUGUAGCAGUGAAAUGCGUAGAUAUCUGGAGGAACACCGGUGGCGAAGGCGGCAUCCUGGACCAACACUGACACUGAGGAGCGAAAGCCAGGGGAGCAAACGGG
rnacentral:rRNA from 1 species